UACGAAGGGGGCUAGCGUUGUUCGGAAUUACUGGGCGUAAAGGGCGCGUAGGCGGUACUUCAAGUCAGGCGUGAAAGCCCCGGGCUCAACCUGGGAACCGCGCUUGAGACUGGAGAACUAGAGUUCGGGAGAGGAUGGUGGAAUUCCCAGUGUAGAGGUGAAAUUCGUAGAUAUUGGGAAGAACACCGAUGGCGAAGGCAGCCAUCUGGACCGACACUGACGCUGAGGCGCGAAAGCGUGGGGAGCAAACAGGAUUGA
rnacentral:rRNA from 1 species